GACGAGGUAGCAAAGAGGCAAUGCGGGAGACAGCAGAUCUCCUUACGCGGGUUCAAAUCCUGCCCUCGUCU
rnacentral:tRNA from 1 species